CUCAAAUUGUCAAAAUACAAGUAAGAUAUUUUUACUCGUCUUGAUACAGUGGAAUUUGAAUGUAUCGAGCCAAUUGGACACUUAGAAAUUGUAACACAUUAAAAUAGUAAAUGUAAUCAUUCCAAGGAGAAGAGAAUAUGCAGUAUAAUUAAACAUCAAAUCAUGAUCGAAAUAGUUGAUCAAUUCAAUUAUGAGGGUAAUUUUGUGGAAGAAAACGACAAACAACAAAUCACAAGAAUUGAAAACUUUCAAAACAGAUGAAAUUUAACACAACAUGGCCAUGCAAUUUUCCGAUUAACUCCUUGUUACUCAGACCUGAAUCCAAUUGAAUUAGUGUGGGCAUGUCUCAAACUAUAUAUGCCACAAAAAUAUACAUCUUUAAUAUUAAAAA